rnacentral:rRNA from 1 species
UGGGGAAUUUUGGACAAUGGGCGCAAGCCUGAUCCAGCCAUGCCGCGUGCGGGAAGAAGGCCUUCGGGUUGUAAACCGCUUUUGUCAGGGAAGAGAUCUUCUGAGUUAAUACCUCGGGAGGAUGACGGUACCUGAAGAAUAAGCACCGGCUAACUACGUGCCAGCAGCCGCGGUAAUACGUAGGGUGCAAGCGUUAAUCGGAAUUACUGGGCGUAAAGCGUGCGCAGGCGGUUUUGUAAGGCAGAGGUGAAAUCCCCGGGNUCAACCUGGGAACUGCCUUUGUGACUGCAAGGCUUGAGUGCGGCAGAGGGGGAUGGAAUUCCGCGUGUAGCAGUGAAAUGCGUAGAUAUGCGGAGGAACACC